CCCCAGGGAGCGUGACCCCGUGGGAUCCCUAUACCUUCCAGCUCAGCCACCAGGAGCUGGGCUCCAGGAGAGGAAGUGUCAGUGGUCCCAUGGAUGCCCUGAAGGCACAGCUCAUCCCCAGAGGUUGACUCCUUAGCUGCCUCCUUGUCCAGGGCCCCCUGCUUCUGUCCUCUCUCUAUAGGUGGCGCUGUAUCACUAGACCCCUCCCGAGCUCUGCCACCAGGACCAGGUGGAGAGGUGGGGUGGACAACCAUCAGGGCUAGGCACAGUCACGAGGAGAGACAGAGGGUGCCAUCAUGGUCACAGCGGGGACAAUGGAUGAAGUGCCUUGUGGAUAACAGUGAGACAUAGAACCAAAGUGCAAAGUUGCUGCUCUUGUUCAUCUUCACCGGAGUGACGCAGCCACGCUGGCCAUUGCUGGACACGUUCAUGGUAGAGGACAGAAAAGAGAAUCACAUGUUCUCUCGUACAGAGACACCAGAUCCAGAGGAGCAAGAGCAGGACAGGGUCCCCAAGGCUGGCCAGGGCACAAAGUCACAGCUGGGCUGGUGGGAGCCUGGGCUCCAUGCACAGAGGAGGCUGUGGUUGAUAAUAGGUGCUGUAUUUCAAUUGCUAGAAAAAGGAUUCCAAGGUUUUCACCAAAGGGAAAUGGAGCAUAGUUGAGGUGUCUCACAAAGAGCGACACUUACGUGUCAGUGCAAAACUGUAUUAUGCUCAGACCUCACCCUGCAGUGAGGGCGGUGUGCAUUUGGUUUCCCCCUUGAUGGAAGGCUGCCCUGACAGGACUGUUGGACCCAGCAAAAGCUCACAGGAAAAACACCUGUACUCCAUGUCUGGCCCUGUGUGUUUGGGAGAGAACAUCAGGCAUGGCCUAUUCACCUGGGCUGGGGCUGGGGACCUGGGCACCCUGAUUGCUCACAGCCAAUGAGUUCUUGCCUGGUCCAGCCCCACCCCCCCCACUGUCCCAUUAACCCAGAACCCGCUUUCUUCUGCAGGUGAUGGUAUCUUUGAAAGAUGCCCCAUGGAGGCAGCAUCCGGGGCCACAGUGUGCAAAGCGCUGGUUCCAGGCCCAGGCUGAAGGGAGUCCAACGGCUGUGUGGGAACCCAGACCACUCACAGCUCAGGGCUGCGGCUGCUUCUGGAAUGGACAGAGACUGGAGUCUCCAUCUCUGUCUCCCCUCCUUCCGUCCUUUUCUCCUUUUUCCAUCAUUAGCUGGAGUAAUGCAGCGAGGAGAAGCCUCUCAGUGCUGACCGCCGACCUUGGGAAGGAAAUGCGUCUCCCUGUUUCUUGGAAAGGGUGUGGAGCGAGUCUGGGCAGCCAGCUGAGCUGCCCAGCCCCCUGGGAGGAGUGGCUUUGGCCAGGCAGGCGGGCACUGAGGGCACAGAGGGUGCUGCCUGGGUUAUGGAGCCCCCAGCCUGCUGGGCGCCACCCCAGGGGCAGCCCCUCUGCCCAAGGCCCAUCGUCCCCUGUCACCCCCUGCCUCUCCCUCCCUCCGUAAAGCUGCGGCUUCCGUGCUGAGUCACCCUGGCUGGGGUGCCGGGAGGAGGAGAAGGACGGGGGCUGGCACCAUUCCGGGAGGGCUGUGUUGAGCCACAGACAACAGACGGGAAACAGCACCCAAAGGCGCGGAAAAGCUGCUUGGGCAGAGGGUCCAGCUUCACAGCUGGGCAGCUCUGAGCACACUGGACUGUGACACGGGGACAGAUGUGGGGUGAUACAUGAAGGUCACAGCUGGACAAAAAGGCCCAACCAGAGAAAGGGCCAGGGCACGAGGGAGGGAGGCGGUAUCAGAGGCAGCAGGACAGGGUGAACCCUUGCUUCUAUUUUGCCGACUGAGUAAGCUGGGCCAGACAUUCAUGUGACCUUGUGUGUACACACAUGAGCCUGCUGCAUGUUCAGAGCGAGAUGUGAAGAAAAGCACAAUCGCACAGCCUAGGCCGGCUGAUCCUUGCACACAUACAGUUCCUCCUGCAGGAGGUGCCCCGGGUUCACACCUCAGUGUGCUCCGCUCUGCCACCACCUGGGCAGGAUGGCGCCCUCCUCUGCCUCUAUAAUGGCAGUGUUCCCACAUCACCCCGACAUGGGGCCCUGGUGGCCCAGCCCCACGUGCUCAGACUUGAGCACGGGACAAAAGGCAAAGCAUUUUACAGGAGAAUGUGCAGUGCCAACGCUGGGUGCCCAAGCUGCUCUUGCAGCCAGGUCAGACCAUUUCCCCUGACCCGGUCUCCUCCAUCCCCUUGUUCCCUGCCAGACACCCUGUCCUGACUCUUGUGGCGAUGUCCCUGUCUUCUGAGUUGUUGCUGUCACCCUGGGUGUGCCCUUGGCGACAGUCUCUCUGUGGGGUUCUGGCUCCAUCCACUGAGUCUGUGUGGCCGUGCUCCACGUCACUGCUGUGAACCUGCUUCCCACCACACGUGUGCCAUGGUCCACACAAGCAUCCUCAUCCUCCCUGUCUUGAUGGCUCUCCGCCCUGCCUGUGUCCCCCAGGCCCACCUACCUCAGGAUCGCAGCAGGACGGCUGGAGCUUGGGAAGAAACAGCACAUGAGAGAGCAGCAGAUGAACACCUUUGUCCUUCCAAGUGUUCAAACCAUGGAAAACGAGGCAUUUCCUUCUCAGCACAGCCUCGGCAUUCUCUUGGUUUGGGUUUACUCAUGGAUGCAAAAACUGCUCACAAAAGUGCGUGAACCUGUCUGGCAACCUGAGUGGCGGUGGAGGAUGAUGGUGCCCAGCUAUGGUCCCUCCGCAUCUUCUUGUCCUGUGUGGUCGCCCUGCAGCCUGGCUUUUGUUCUCCAAGAGGGACAGGCGGGAGAUCCUGGCAGGGACCCAGGGCUGCCAGAUCUUUGCAGAAUCAAGGACUUACUUUCCCGACCAGGACUCACUCCAAUUCUGCUAGUGAUGUGAGAGAGAAAGAAGUUUUAGGCUAAAGAAUGGAGGCAGCAGACCCUGCUUUUUCCGCAGUCCUUCUAAUUAAUAACAAAUAAUGAUGUAAUGACAUUUGUGUGCUCACUGUGCAGGGCACUUGCAUAAGCAUUACAGACAACAGACCCUUGCUUGUCCUCAACGCAUCCUGACACUGACUCUCUUAGUAUGUCUUUUUAGUUUAUCUGAUUCACAGAGCCGGCAUCUUGCUCGAAGAGGUCACCAGCUGGGUGAGUGGUGGGGAUACAGCAAACCCACUCCUCUCUUAACUGAGACAACAGGGAGUGACAUUCAGGUGUGUGCGGUUGUAAUAAAAAAUGACCCCCAGCUAGUAUACUUCAUUUUGUUAGUUGCCCAGGUAAUAGUUCCUGUUACAGUUCCGGUUGCUCCUGUCUGUUAGAAACAGCUGGUCUAACUGUGAUGCAUAGCUGGUCACCGUGAGGCAUGUUGUAUAAACCAACCCCCAACUGACAAGCAAUUUUACUUCUGUACUUCCUGCUUGCUUACUUCGUGUAAGCCCUAGAUCACCAGAGAUCAGGGCCUGAUAUUUUGAGGAGCAAUUGAUUCCUAAUCAGUGCCCAUCCUCUGUUAAAUAAAUCU